rnacentral:tRNA from 1 species
UCCCUGGUGGUUCAGUGCUUAAGAUUUUGCACUUUCAAUGCAGGGGACAUGGGUUCAAUUCUUGGUCAGGGAA